GAUGAACGCUGGCGGCGUGCCUAAUACAUGCAAGUCGAGCGAACGGAUGAGAAGCUUGCUUCUCUGAUGUUAGCGGCGGACGGGUGAGUAACACGUGGAUAACCUACCUAUAAGACUGGGAUAACUUCGGGAAACCGGAGCUAAUACCGGAUAAUAUUUUGAACCGCAUGGUUCAAAAGUGAAAGACGGUUUUGCUGUCACUUAUAGAUGGAUCCGCGCUGCAUUAGCUAGUUGGUAAGGUAACGGCUUACCAAGGCAACGAUGCGUAGCCGACCUGAGAGGGUGAUCGGCCAAACUGGAACUGAGACACGGUCCAGACUCCUACGGGAGGCAGCAGUAGGGAAUCUUCCGCAAUGGGCGAAAGCCUGACGGAGCAACGCCGCGUGAGUGAUGAAGGUCUUCGGAUCGUAAAACUCUGUUAUUAGGGAAGAACAUAUGUGUAAGUAACUAUGCACAUCUUGACGGUACCUAAUCAGAAAGCCACGGCUAACUACGUG
rnacentral:rRNA from 1 species